rnacentral:rRNA from 1 species
UUACGGGAGGCAGCAGUGGGGAAUUGUUCGCAAUGGGCGCAAGCCUGACGACGCAACGCCGCGUGGAGGAUGAAGAUCUUCGGGUCGUAAACUCCUUUCGAUCGAGACGAACGGCCCUGGGGUGAAUAAUCCCGGGGAGUGACGGUACCGAGAGAAGAAGCCCCGGCUAACUCCGUGCCAGCAGCCGCGGUAAUACGGGGGGGGCAAGCGUUGUUCGGAAUUACUGGGCGUAAAGGGCUCGUAGGCGGCCAACUAAGUCGGACGUGAAAUCCCUCGGCUUAACCGGGGAACUGCGUCCGAUACUGGAUGGCUUGAGUGUGGGAGAGGGAUGCGGAAUUCCAGGUGUAGCGGUGAAAUGCGUAGAUAUCUGGAGGAACACCGGUGGCGAAGGCGGCAUCCUGGACCAUGACUGACGCUGAGGAGCGAAAGCCAGGGGAGCAAACGGGAUUAGAUACCCUGGUAGA